AGUGAGGCAACGAAAGCUCAGAGGUGGAGAAUCUUUUUGCUGCCAAGGGCCAUUUGGAUAUUUAUAACAUCAUUUGGGGGGCAUACAAAAUUAUCAGCUUAAAAAUUAGCUGCUGUAUUUGAUCAAACACUUAAUUAACUUACCCCUAAUGCCUUGGCAGGGCCAGAUCAGAUUAUUUCAUGGGCUUUAACUGGUCUGUGGGCUGCAG